rnacentral:lncRNA from 1 species
UCUUCUAUUGAUGAACAGAUACUCCUUUAUAUUCAGAAAAAAAGUAUUUUUUCCACAAAUUAUAGGUGAACAAUAUGUUGUAAAGCUUCUAAUGGUAACGCUGCAUCAUCUGUGAGCAAGCCUAAUACUCAAUUCGAGUUUGUUAAUUUUAUAACUCAUUGCUAAAGAACUAAUUUAUUGGAUUCCUUUAAACUUGCUGUUGUAAGUAG